CAGAGACCUUUGAUGGGAUGAGCAUCAUUGUUUAUUCGCUGCACUCUCUCGUCGUCAAACUUUUCAAAAUCAAUGUUAUUAAAAAAUCCAAACAUAUAUAUAUAUAAAUCUGCUAAUGUCGUAGGGAAACUUUAAAAAUGAAAAUUGCUACGGCCUACCGGUGGUUAAUGAAGGAUGCAACGGCCGGUUAAAACGUCGGUUAGCUCCCGUUUUUCCUGCACAGAAAGAAUUGCCUUACAGUCCCAAAUGCCUCCUCUGUAAUCGCCAUCUUGUUGAAGGAUAGCAAGGUUUCUUCUCAAUUCUUCUUUCUCCACUUCUUCCUCUGGUUUGUAACAUCAUCAACAAUAGAGUGAGAAACACCGGCAGUCAUGCUCAAAAGUUCUUGUCACUUAUUCUUGCUUUUCAAUAUUCGGAUUCGUUCCCUCUGGAUUUGCAAUCAACCACUGCAUGUCUGGAUGGGCUUACUGUUCUGACAGACAAGGUACCAAUAUUUGUUCAUUUGUUGAGAAACAAAUUCAACUCAGUUUUAUAUGAAUGCAUUUUCAUGCUGAGGAAAUGAGUAUUCUUCUUGCUUCACCGUAAGUCUUUUCUUUUUAGUCUAUAAUAUGUGGGCUACCAUUUUGAGGUAGUCCUUAGGAACAACAGGGAUCUGGUUCUGAUUUCCUCUCCAAUUCUAGUUGGAGCAUCUAGUCCUCCCCAUACAACACCUAAAUCCUUUGUGAAACAUGGGAUGAUGUCCUUCAGUAGUUCCACAGUUUCUUUAGAAGUGUACGCUCAGCUAACCUAUUGUGCCGCAAAAUUGCAUAGCCAAUUUGAACUUCGGCUAAUGUAGUUGUUCAUCUCCAGUAGUUUCAUCAAUCAAAGUCUGGUUCACUUUUGCUAAAAAUAACAAGGAAACUGGUUCUUGUAUGGCGCUGAAGAAAUUGAAUAGCUUAAGGAUUAUAGGACAGCUGGUAAAUUUGGUGCUUGCUUUCUACUGUCAACCUCAUGCACUUUUGUAGUUUUUUGUGGACUUCCUCUGUUGUAUCUGGUUCAAAUUGCCAUAACUCCAUGAGCAAUAUUUGUUGUGAUUUGACAUUUGUUAAAAUUUCCCAUGUUGCUGAUGGUGAAACCAUUCAUUGA